CACUCUCUAAGAUUUGCUGUCUGCAUCCUGUCUUUUUAAAGGGAUACUCAGGUGACAUUGCUAUAGGUCUGCUUUUCACACCUCACUGUGCUAUGUUCACCUAGGUCAGCAAUAAUACUGUAUAUCUGCAUGUGAAAGGCUUUUGUUUUUCUGCUAGGCAGGGAUGACAACCAGAUGAAGCCUUAACCUCUCCUGAUAAUGUUAAAACAAAAAACAGAAUCUCCAAAUUGUCACUAAGGUGAGCACUGAAAAUAUGUUAAUCUACAUGUCAGAUUAUCAUCAAUAGACACCCAUG